rnacentral:rRNA from 1 species
GAUAAACGCUGGCGGCGUGCCUAAUACAUGCAAGUCGAACGGAGAAAUUUUGUAGCAAUACGAGGUUUCUUAGUGGCGAAUGGGUGAGUAACGCGUUGGUGACCUGCCCCAAAGAGGGGGAUAACAGCUCGAAAGGGCUGCUAAUACCCCAUGUGGUCGCAAGGGUUAGAGGCCUUGCGUCUAAAGGAGCAAUCCGCUUUGGGAGGGGCCUGCGUCCCAUCAGCUAGUUGGUAGGGUAAUGGCCUACCAAGGCUGCGACGGGUAGGGGGCCUGAGAGGGUGGCCCCCCA